rnacentral:rRNA from 1 species
CAGCCGCCACGGUAAUACGGAGGGUGCAAGCGUUAAUCGGAAUUACUGGGCGUAAAGCGCACGCAGGCGGUUUGUUAAGUCAGAUGUGAAAUCCCCGAGCUUAACUUGGGAACUGCAUUUGAAACUGGCAAGCUAGAGUCUUGUAGAGGGGGGUAGAAUUCCAGGUGUAGCGGUGAAAUGCGUAGAGAUCUGGAGGAAUACCGGUGGCGAAGGCGGCCCCCUGGACAAAGACUGACGCUCAGGUGCGAAAGCGUGGGGAGCAAACAGGAUUAGAUACCCGAGUAGUCCCUGUCUCUUAUAC